rnacentral:rRNA from 1 species
GGUUAAGCGACUAAGCGUACACGGUGGAUGCCCUGGCAGUCAGAGGCGAUGAAGGACGUGCUAAUCUGCGAUAAGCGUCGGUAAGGUGAUAUGAACCGUUAUAACCGGCGAUUUCCGAAUGGGGAAACCCAGUGUGAUUCGUCACACUAUCAUUAACUGAAUCCAUAGGUUAAUGAGGCGAACCGGGGGAACUGAAACAUCUAAGUACCCCGAGGAAAAGAAAUCAACCGAGAUUCCCCCAGUAGCGGCGAGCGAACGGGGAGCAGCCCAGAGCCUGAAUCAGUGUGUGUGUUAGUGGAAGCGUCUGGAAAGGCGCGCGAUACAGGGUGACAGCCCCGUACACAAAAAUGCACAUACUGUGAGCUCGAUGAGUAGGGCGGGACACGUGGUAUCCUGUCUGAAUAUGGGGGGACCAUCCUCCAAGGCUAAAUACUCCUGACUGACCGAUAGUGAACCAGUACCGUGAGGGAAAGGCGAAAAGAACCCCGGCGAGGGGAGUGAAAAAGAACCUGAAACCGUGUACGUACAAGCAGUGGGAGCCUCUUUAUGGGGUGACUGCGUACCUUUUGUAUAAUGGGUCAGCGACUUAUAUUCUGUAGCAAGGUUAACCGAAUAGGGGAGCCGAAGGGAAACCGAGUCUUAACUGGGCGUUAAGUUGCAGGGUAUAGACCCGAAACCCGGUGAUCUAGCCAUGGGCAGGUUGAAGGUUGGGUAACACUAACUGGAGGACCGAACCGACUAAUGUUGAAAAAUUAGCGGAUGACUUGUGGCUGGGGGUGAAAGGCCAAUCAAACCGGGAGAUAGCUGGUUCUCCCCGAAAGCUAUUUAGGUAGCGCCUCGUGAAUUCAUCUCCGGGGGUAGAGCACUGUUUCGGCAAGGGGGUCAUCCCGACUUACCAACCCGAUGCAAACUGCGAAUACCGGAGAAUGUUAUCACGGGAGACACACGGCGGGUGCUAACGUCCGUCGUGAAGAGGGAAACAACCCAGACCGCCAGCUAAGGUCCCAAAGUCAUGGUUAAGUGGGAAACGAUGUGGGAAGGCCCAGACAGCCAGGAUGUUGGCUUAGAAGCAGCCAUCAUUUAAAGAAAGCGUAAUAGCUCACUGGUCGAGUCGGCCUGCGCGGAAGAUGUAACGGGGCUAAACCAUGCACCGAAGCUGCGGCAGCGACGCUUAUGCGUUGUUGGGUAGGGGAGCGUUCUGUAAGCCUGUGAAGGUGUACUGUGAGGUAUGCUGGAGGUAUCAGAAGUGCGAAUGCUGACAUAAGUAACGAUAAAGCGGGUGAAAAGCCCGCUCGCCGGAAGACCAAGGGUUCCUGUCCAACGUUAAUCGGGGCAGGGUGAGUCGACCCCUAAGGCGAGGCCGAAAGGCGUAGUCGAUGGGAAACAGGUUAAUAUUCCUGUACUUGGUGUUACUGCGAAGGGGGGACGGAGAAGGCUAUGUUGGCCGGGCGACGGUUGUCCCGGUUUAAGCGUGUAGGCUGGUUUUCCAGGCAAAUCCGGAAAAUCAAGGCUGAGGCGUGAUGACGAGGCACUACGGUGCUGAAGCAACAAAUGCCCUGCUUCCAGGAAAAGCCUCUAAGCAUCAGGUAACAUCAAAUCGUACCCCAAACCGACACAGGUGGUCAGGUAGAGAAUACCAAGGCGCUUGAGAGAACUCGGGUGAAGGAACUAGGCAAAAUGGUGCCGUAACUUCGGGAGAAGGCACGCUGAUAUGUAGGUGAAGCGACUUGCUCGUGGAGCUGAAAUCAGUCGAAGAUACCAGCUGGCUGCAACUGUUUAUUAAAAACACAGCACUGUGCAAACACGAAAGUGGACGUAUACGGUGUGACGCCUGCCCGGUGCCGGAAGGUUAAUUGAUGGGGUUAGCGGUAACGCGAAGCUCUUGAUCGAAGCCCCGGUAAACGGCGGCCGUAACUAUAACGGUCCUAAGGUAGCGAAAUUCCUUGUCGGGUAAGUUCCGACCUGCACGAAUGGCGUAAUGAUGGCCAGGCUGUCUCCACCCGAGACUCAGUGAAAUUGAACUCGCUGUGAAGAUGCAGUGUACCCGCGGCAAGACGGAAAGACCCCGUGAACCUUUACUAUAGCUUGACACUGAACAUUGAGCCUUGAUGUGUAGGAUAGGUGGGAGGCUUUGAAGUGUGGACGCCAGUCUGCAUGGAGCCGACCUUGAAAUACCACCCUUUAAUGUUUGAUGUUCUAACGUAGGCCCCUUAUCGGGGUUGCGGACAGUGUCUGGUGGGUAGUUUGACUGGGGCGGUCUCCUCCUAAAGAGUAACGGAGGAGCACGAAGGUUGGCUAAUCCUGGUCGGACAUCAGGAGGUUAGUGCAAUGGCAUAAGCCAGCUUGACUGCGAGCGUGACGGCGCGAGCAGGUGCGAAAGCAGGUCAUAGUGAUCCGGUGGUUCUGAAUGGAAGGGCCAUCGCUCAACGGAUAAAAGGUACUCCGGGGAUAACAGGCUGAUACCGCCCAAGAGUUCAUAUCGACGGCGGUGUUUGGCACCUCGAUGUCGGCUCAUCACAUCCUGGGGCUGAAGUAGGUCCCAAGGGUAUGGCUGUUCGCCAUUUAAAGUGGUACGCGAGCUGGGUUUAGAACGUCGUGAGACAGUUCGGUCCCUA